rnacentral:rRNA from 1 species
UGGGGAAUCUUGCACAAUGGGCGCAAGCCUGAUGCAGCAACGCCGCGUGCGGGAAGAAGGCCCUCGGGUUGUAAACCGCUUUCAGGAGGGAAGAAACUGACGGUACCUCCAGAAGAAGGUGCGGCCAACUACGUGCCAGCAGCCGCGGUAACACGUAGGCACCAAGCGUUAUCCGGAUUUAUUGGGCGUAAAGAGCUCGUAGGCGGUUCAGUCAGUCGGGUGUGAAAACUCAAGGCUCAACCUUGAGAGGUCACCCGAUACUGCUGUGACUAGAGUGCGGUAGGGGAGCGGGGAAUUCCUGGUGUAGCGGUGAAAUGCGCAGAUAUCAGGAGGAACACCAGUGGCGAAGGCGCCGCUCUGGGCCGUAACUGACGCUGAGGAGCGAAAGCAUGGGUAGCAAACAGGAUUAGAUACCCCCGUAGUCC